rnacentral:rRNA from 1 species
GACGAACGCUGGCGGCGUGCUUAACACAUGCAAGUCGAACGGAAAGGCCCUGCUUGCAGGGUACUCGAGUGGCGAACGGGUGAGUAACACGUGGGUGAUCUGCCCUGCACUUCGGGAUAAGCCUGGGAAACUGGGUCUAAUACCGGACAGGAGCCAUUUUUAGUGUGAUGGUUGGAAAGUUUUUUCGGUGUAGGAUGAGCUCGCGGCCUAUCAGCUUGUUGGUGGGGUAAUGGCCUACCAAGGCGGCGACGGGUAGCCGGCCUGAGAGGGUGGACGGCCACAUUGGGACUGAGAGACGGCCCAGGCACCGACGGGAGGCAGCAGGGGGGAAGAUUGCACAAGGGGCGCAAGCCGGAUGCAGCGACGCCGCGGGGGGGAUGACGGCCUUCGGGUUGUAAACUCAUUUCGCUAGGGACGAAGCUUUUUGUGACGGUACCUAGAUAAGAAGCACCGGCUAACUACGUG